AUUGAACGCUGGCGGCAGGCCUAACACAUGCAAGUCGAGCGGGGUUUUCGGACCUAGCGGCGGACGGGUGAGUAAUGCGUAGGAAGCUGCCCGAUAGAGGGGGGAUACCAGUUGGAAACGACUGUUAAUACCGCAUAAUGUCUACGGACCAAAGUGUGGGACCUUCGGGCCACAUGCUAUCGGAUGCGCCUACGUGGGAUUAGCUAGUUGGUGAGGUAAUGGCUCGCCAAGGCGACGAUCUCUAGCUGGUUUGAGAGGAUGAUCAGCCACACUGGAACUGAGACACGGUCCAGACUCUUACGGGAGGCAGCAGUGGGGAAUAUUGGACAAUGGGCGCAAGCCUGAUCCAGCCAUGCCGCGUGUGUGAAGAAGGCCUUCGGGUUGUAAAGCACUUUCAGCGAGGAGGAAGGGGUGUGUGUUAAUAGUACACACCUUUGACGUUACUCGCAGAAGAAGCACCGGCUAACUCUGUGCCAGCCGCCGCCGUAACAC
rnacentral:rRNA from 1 species